GAACGCCGUGUGAGGUGAAAGUCUCACGCACGGUGUGGAGUGGGGGAAAACCUGGAGAAUGAUUCAAGAGGUUACCUAUCACUAU
rnacentral:ncRNA from 1 species